rnacentral:rRNA from 1 species
UACGGGGGAUGCAAGCGUUAUUCGGAAUUAUUGGGCGUAAAGGGCGCGUAGGCGGUUUUGUCGGUCAGAUGUGAAAGCCCGGGGCUCAACCCCGGACGUGCAUUUGAAACAGCAAGACUUGAGUACGGGAGAGGAAAGCGGAAUUCCUGGUGUAGAGGUGAAAUUCGUAGAUAUCAGGAGGAACACCGAUGGCGAAGGCAGCUUUCUGGACCGAUACUGACGCUGAGGCGCGAAGGCGUGGGUAGCGAACAGGAUUAGAUACCCUGGUAGUCCACGCAGUAAACGAUGUACACUCGGUGUAGCGGAUAUUAAAAUCUGCUGCGCCCAAGCUAACGCAUUAAGUGUACCGCCUGGGGAGUACGGUCGCAAGACUAAA